UACAGGGGGUCAAGCGUUGUUCGGAAUUACUGGGCGUAAAGGGUUUGUAGGUGGCUUGCUCAGUCAGACGUGAAAUCCCUCAGCUUAACUGGGGAACUGCGUCUGAUACUAGCGAGCUUGAGUGCAGGAGAGGAACGCGGAAUUCCAGGUGUAGCGGUGAAAUGCGUAGAUAUCUGGAGGAACACCGGUGGCGAAGGCGGCAUCCUGGACCAUAACUGACGCUGAUGCGCGAAAGCUAGGGGAGCAAACGGG
rnacentral:rRNA from 1 species